GAAUACGUGGGUUCGAAAUUCAGCAACUGAUCACUGCUAUCCGAUUUCGUAAUCCAUGUCUUUCAUGGUUGAGUAUGCGGAUGUUUAUGCAUGAUAAUAUUUCCGGUCGGGAAACGGUGCGCAACAUUUCCUAACCAUUCUUGUGUAAUUAGUCCAGAUAUUCCAGGCACGUUUUCACACGAUAAUAGGGAAGUUUAGUUUGCUUAUUUUAUGUCUCUUAGUUCAUAGUAUAUUGAUGCUUUGAUUAUCCAUAUACGUAGAGUCGUAAUGUUAGUGAUCAACCCGUCGGGACAAAUUAUUGAUUUUCUUUUUAGUAGAUUCCCUCUUGUAUCCUCAGGCAUUAGUUGUUGCUUAGAUUCAGGAAUAUCUCCUGGAUAAUCCUAUGUAUGUUCAAAUGAAUAUACAGUCUUAUAAAAAAAAUUGGGAGCUCGUUCCCGUCAUAUUUUGUAUUUACCAUAGAGUCAUAGUACUUAUAAGUUACCCUUCAUUUUUAUUAUUUAGUUUAGAUAGGCUCAUAUUACCGAAUGAGGGAAGAUGUAGAGCUAAUUUAGUUAUUUAUUUAGUAUUAGUGGGAAUUGGUCCAUAAAUUUUCCUGAUCGUUCUUCUUUGGAUAUGCUCUUAUAAAUCUGGUGUCCAUUGAUAGUCCGAUUUUGGAUUGAGUGUCCAAUUCCACAUUUAGUUUGGUUAAUGUGUUUGGAUUCGUUUGGUAUGUUUACUAUUUGUAUUAUUCGGUAUUGGUGAGAAUUGUUCCAUAAAUCUUCCUGAUUGUUCUUCUCUGGAUAUGCCAUUACAAAUCUGGUGUCCAUUGUUAUUCCAAUUUUGGAUUGAGUGUUCGAUUAUUCUUCACUAAUUUUAGUUAUUGAUUUAUUUGGUGACUUUAGUAUAUUUACUUGCGUUAGGGUAUGAAUUGGCUCACACCUUUGCCUGGUUGUUCGUCCUUGGAUAUACCCUUUAUAAAUCUGAUGUCCAGGGAUAGUACAACUUUGGAUUUGCUGCCAAUUCGACACUUAUUUGUCAUUAUAAAUUAAAUCUCAUCUGUAGGUUGUUUGGCUUUUAAAAAAAAAAAAAAAAAAAAAAAACCAGUCACGUUUACUAGGACUUCGGGUCAUCUUUUGCAAUUCCUGUUAGUUGCUGCAGUGACCAUCCUGCUUUCCCUUGAUUAUUAGUUGUGAUUAUUUGUAAUCUUGCGAAUCAACGGGGAAUGAUACACUAAGUACUACUACUUUAGUUUAAUAUGUGAAAAAAAAAAAAAAAAUUUUUAAUUAAAAUUUUUUUUUCUCGUGGUCAAAAGGGAAUGUGACGUUCCGCCCCUUAUAGAAUCCAUUAUUGAUGGGAAGAUAUUAUUUCAUUAUUUUUAGAAUUAUUUUCUUUCAAUGGUUAUUAAAAUAUAACAUAACACCAUCACAGAAUUUUAAAUGCUUGUGACGUCAUAUUUUAAGUGUGGCAACAUUGGUUUGCUUGCGUUUGACAGCGUAUCGAUGGGAGAGGGGAAUUGAAUUGCCCACGGAGAUCGUCAGCCAGCUAACGAGAGGGCAUUGGCUUUCUAGAAGUGUGUCGGAGUGGCAGGUCGGUAGCUUGAUAUUUUACCCACAAUUUCAAGAUCCAAAUUAUAAUUAAAGAUUGAAUCCAUCCAGCAUUAGGGAAUAUAAAGUUAUUAGUGAAUACGAAGUUGAAGAAUUUGAAUGCAGAUUUAAAAUGAGUUCCGGCCUGCCACCACUAUGAAAUCAUAAAAAAAAAGAAAACCUAAGACCACCAAGGUAGACCACUUCUAGAGAGACGGUCACUAGGAGACCAGCCUGGAAGAUCUCCAUAUCUAUCUUUUUCGCCUGUACCUUCAACUGGUUUUUUUUCCACCUGUUUUCUUGUACCUCCAGCAGGACAGUUGCAAGAGGGAGUUAGCACCCCCUUGUGCUCAUUGCAUCCCGGUCAAUUUGGGGAAUACACAGCAAGGAACGCACCGCAAGGAACAUUGGAAGAUUGUGAAAAGGGGUUUGUGUUGAUGAACAUUCGGUUUGCUCUAAGUAAAAAUUUAGACUGUUUUUUGUGAUUUUCAGGAUACUUAGUUUAUUCAUAUAGGUACUUUAUAAAUUUAUUGCACAUAACCUUUCCCUUUUCAAGAUUUUUAUAGUAUUACAGAACAGUAUAAUAAUUGAUAGCGUUCCCCAAAGCUGCGUAACCUCCAUGGUGAGAAUCUCUGAGCUCAGAUACUUUCCCAUACAAUAGUGUUGGUACUCUUAUAUUUUUUUUAUUAUUCUUUGGCUUGUUUCCCUUUUAUAUAACUAUUUAAACUCCUUUAAUUAUUUUAGUAUAUUUUAAAUUAAAUUUUUCAAAUUAACUUCAAAUAUCAUUAAAAAUUUCUAUUAUUCAAAUUAUUUAACUUUAACUAUUAAUUUUUAUAUUAAAUUCGAAUAAAUCCCUAGUACCCAUCCCCUCAGGAAGGUACUAGUUUUACUUGCCAUUAUUAUUAAGAACCACGAGUCGGUAAAAGGAUCUUUGGUAUCCAGAACUCCGUUGGUUCACUUAGGGACUUGGUACCCGUCAACUCAUUGAGUUGUACAUACAUAUAUUAAAUAUCUUGUUCAUAUUAUCAGGUAGUAUUGAAUUAAGUGUACGUAUGAUAUUCGUACCAUUGUUAUUGGGUGAGGGUAGUUACUGCUAACCAAGUGUAAGUUGUACUUCCUGUAUUAGAGGUACCCUUAUUCAGAUUUUCUAACCUUAUUAAGAUUAUUCUUAGAUUAUAUUUGUAAGGUAAUUCUGUAAAUGACUUUCACUAGUAUUUUUUUUUGUCAUGUUAGAGUUACAUACUAGUUACUUGUCUUAACUCGGAGAUUGUGAAAAUCUGGUAGUUACAUUCAAUAAAUAUACAUUUAUUGUGA